GACGGAGGAUGCAAGCGUUAUCCGGAAUGAUUGGGCGUAAAGCGUCCGCAGGUGGCAGUUCAAGUCUGCUGUCAAAGACCGGGGCUUAACUUCGGAAAGGCAGUGGAAACUGAACAGCUAGAGUACGGUAGGGGCAGAGGGAAUUUCCGGUGGAGCGGUGAAAUGCAUUGAGAUCGGAAAGAACACCAACGGCGAAAGCACUCUGCUGGGCCGACACUGACACUGAGAGACGAAAGCUAGGGGAGCAAAUGGG
rnacentral:rRNA from 1 species